rnacentral:lncRNA from 1 species
AAAGUUUAUGAAAGUUGCUUAAAAUCCAAGAAAAGGGCAUGAUUAUGAUUUUGUGAGGUAUUUGGAGGUUUGUAAGAGAUGAUUAAUGUUCCUUGAUACCAUAUAUGUUUGGAAUAGCUGUUUAUAAGAAUUUAUAACAUGUUUGGAUGAAUUUUUGAGCUGAUUCAAUGAUAAACCGCCUUAGAAAACUCAAGAACAGAUGUUCUUCUGGUGUGGUUCGC